rnacentral:rRNA from 1 species
AUUGAACGCUGGCGGCAUGCCUUACACAUGCAAGUCGAACGGCAGCGGACCUUCGGGUGCCGGCGAGUGGCGAACGGGUGAGUAAUAUAUCGGAACGUACCUUUCAGUGGGGGAUAACGUAGCGAAAGUUACGCUAAUACCGCAUAUUCUGUGAGCAGGAAAGCAGGGGAUCGCAAGACCUUGCGCUGAUUGAGCGGCCGAUAUCAGAUUAGCUAGUUGGUGAGGUAAAGGCUCACCAAGGCGACGAUCUGUAGCGGGUCUGAGAGGAUGAUCCGCCACACUGGAACUGAGACACGGUCCAGACUCCUACGGGAGGCAGCAGUGGGGAAGUUUUGGACAAUGGGCGCAAGCCUGAUCCAGCCAUGCCGCGUGAGUGAAGAAGGCC